UAGUUGGUGAGGUAACGGCUCACCAAGGCGACGAUCAGUAGCCGACCUGAGAGGGUGAUCGGCCACACUGGAACUGAGACACGGUCCAGACUCCUACGGGAGGCAGCAGUGGGGAAUAUUGCACAAUGGGCGCAAGCCUGAUGCAGCAACGCCGCGUGAGUGAUGAAGGCCUUCGGGUUGUAAAACUCUGUCCUAUGGGAAGAAUAAAAUGACGGUACCAUAGGAGGAAGCCCCGGCUAACUACGUGCCAGCAGCCGCGGUAAUACGUAGGGGGCAAGCGUUAUCCGGAAUCACUGGGCGUAAAGGGUGCGUAGGUGGCUUAUCAAGCCAGAGGUGAAAGGCAUUGGCUCAACCAAUGUAAGCCUUUGGAACUGAUUAGCUUGAGUGCAGGAGAGGUAAGUGGAAUUCCUAGUGUAGAGGUGAAAUUCGUAGAUAUUAGGAGGAACACCAGUGGCGAAGGCGACUUACUGGACUGUAACUGACACUGAGGCACGAAAGCGUGGGUAGCGAACAGGAUUAGAUACCCUCGUAGUCCACGCCGUAAACGAUGAAUACUAGGUGUCGGGCGUCAAAACUCGGUGCCGCAGCAAACGCAUUAA
rnacentral:rRNA from 1 species